AGGCCAAUAUUAUGCAUAAGGGAUCAUUCCUAAAGUUUGUUACUAGGGAAGUUUCUCAUAGAGUACUGGAAACGAUGCAGAGAUAAAGCCCUCUCUUCUGAGAAUGAAGCUGACUCUUGGUAUUGCUUGGUUGCAAAUACCAUUUGACAUUGACGGUCAUUCUUCUCUUUCCUUUACAAGUAAGAGGGAGAUAAUACUUUCUGAGUGGU
rnacentral:snoRNA from 1 species